rnacentral:rRNA from 1 species
GAAACCGGGUGAUCUAGCCAUGGGCAGGUUGAAGGUUGAGUAACAUCAACUGGAGGACCGAACCGACUAAUGUUGAAAAAUUAGCGGAUGACUUGUGGCUAGGGGUGAAAGGCCAAUCAAACUCGGAGAUAGCUGGUUCUCCCCGAAAGCUAUUUAGGUAGCGCCUCGGACGAAUACUACUGGGGGUAGAGCACUGUUAAGGCUAGGGGGUCAUCCCGACUUACCAACCCUUUGCAAACUCCGAAUACCAGUAAGUACUAUCCGGGAGACACACGGCGGGUGCUAACGUCCGUCGUGGAGAGGGAAACAACCCAGACCGCCAGCUAAGGUCCCAAAGUAUUGCUAAGUGGGAAACGAUGUGGGAAGGCUCAGACAGCUAGGAUGUUGGCUUAGAAGCAGCCAUCAUUUAAAGAAAGCGUAAUAGCUCACUAGUCGAGUCGGCCUGCGCGGAAGAUGUAACGGGGCUAAGCAAUACACCGAAGCUGCGGCAAUAUCUUUUAGAUAUUGGGUAGGGGAGCGUUCUGUAAGCCGUUGAAGGUGAAUCGUAAGGUUUGCUGGAGGUAUCAGAAGUGCGAAUGCUGACAUGAGUAACGACAAAGGGGGUGAAAAACCUCCUCGCCGGAAGACCAAGGGUUCCUGUCCAACGUUAAUCGGGGCAGGGUGAGUCGACCCCUAAGGUGAGGCCGAAAGGCGUAAUCGAUGGGAAACGGGUUAAUAUUCCCGUACUUCUGACUAUUGCGAUGGGGGGACGGAGAAGGCUAGGUGGGCCAGGCGACGGUUGUCCUGGUUCAAGUGCGUAGGCUUGAGAGUUAGGUAAAUCCGGCUCUCUUUAAGGCUGAGACACGACGUCGAGCUGCUACGGCAGUGAAGUCAUUGAUGCCAUGCUUCCAGGAAAAGCCUCUAAGCUUCAGAUAGUUAGGAAUCGUACCCCAAACCGACACAGGUGGUCGGGUAGAGAAUACCAAGGCGCUUGAGAGAACUCGGGUGAAGGAACUAGGCAAAAUGGUACCGUAACUUCGGGAGAAGGUACGCUCUUGAUGGUGAAGUCCCUCGCGGAUGGAGCUGACGAGAGUCGCAGAUACCAGGUGGCUGCAACUGUUUAUUAAAAACACAGCACUGUGCAAAAUCGCAAGAUGACGUAUACGGUGUGACGCCUGCCCGGUGCCGGAAGGUUAAUUGAUGGGGUUAGCGCAAGCGAAGCUCUUGAUCGAAGCCCCGGUAAACGGCGGCCGUAACUAUAACGGUCCUAAGGUAGCGAAAUUCCUUGUCGGGUAAGUUCCGACCUGCACGAAUGGCGUAAUGAUGGCCACGCUGUCUCCACCCGAGACUCAGUGAAAUUGAAAUCGCUGUGAAGAUGCAGUGUACCCGCGGCUAGACGGAAAGACCCCGUGAACCUUUACUACAGCUUGGCACUGAACAUUGAACCUACAUGUGUAGGAUAGGUGGGAGGCUAUGAAGACGUGACGCCAGUUGCGUUGGAGCCGUCCUUGAAAUACCACCCUUGUAUGUUUGAUGUUCUAACUUAGACCCAUUAUCUGGGUUGAGGACAGUGCCUGGUGGGUAGUUUGACUGGGGCGGUCUCCUCCCAAAGAGUAACGGAGGAGCACGAAGGUGGGCUAAUCACGGUUGGACAUCGUGAGGUUAGUGCAAUGGCAUAAGCCCGCUUAACUGCGAGAAUGACGGUUCGAGCAGGUGCGAAAGCAGGUCAUAGUGAUCCGGUGGUUCUGUAUGGAAGGGCCAUCGCUCAACGGAUAAAAGGUACUCCGGGGAUAACAGGCUGAUACCGCCCAAGAGUUCAUAUCGACGGCGGUGUUUGGCACCUCGAUGUCGGCUCAUCACAUCCUGGGGCUGAAGUCGGUCCCAAGGGUAUGGCUGUUCGCCAUUUAAAGUGGUACGCGAGCUGGGUUUAGAACGUCGUGAGACAGUUCGGUCCCUAUCUGCCGUGGGCGUUGGAAGAUUGAAGGGGGCUGCUCCUAGUACGAGAGGACCGGAGUGGACGAACCUCUGGUGUUCGGGUUGUGUCGCCAGACGCAUUGCCCGGUAGCUAAGUUCGGAAUUGAUAAGCGCUGAAAGCAUCUAAGCGCGAAGCGAGC